AUUGGGCUGGAAUUUUUAGAGCAAGUUCCUCAACUGGAUGCGAUUCUUAUACCAGUGAGUGGUGGGGGAAUGUCAGCAGGAAUUGCUAUAGCAGCGAAAACAAUAAAACCUGAUAUCAAAAUUUUCCUUGUUACACCAAAAGGAAAGAAACUGGAAGAAUGUUUAACAACAGGUAAGCGUCCAUGGGAAGGCCCACCUCAAUAUUUGGAAACAAUUGCUGAU
rnacentral:sRNA from 1 species